GGGUUGUGAGGUUAAGCGACUAAGCGUACACGGUGGAUGCCCUGGCAGUCAGAGGCGAUGAAGGACGUGCUAAUCUGCGAAAAGCGUCGGUAAGGUGAUAUGAACCGUUAUAACCGGCGAUGUCCGAAUGGGGAAACCCAGUGUGUUUCGACACACUAUCAUUAACUGAAUCCAUAGGUUAAUGAGGCGAACCGGGGGAACUGAAACAUCUAAGUACCCCGAGGAAAAGAAAUCAACCGAGAUUCCCCCAGUAGCGGCGAGCGAACGGGGAGGAGCCCAGAGCCUGAAUCAGUGUGUGUGUUAGUGGAAGCGUCUGGAAAGGCGCGCGAUACAGGGUGACAGCCCCGUACACAAAAAUGCACAUGCUGUGAGCUCGAUGAGUAGGGCGGGACACGUGGUAUCCUGUCUGAAUAUGGGGGGACCAUCCUCCAAGGCUAAAUACUCCUGACUGACCGAUAGUGAACCAGUACCGUGAGGGAAAGGCGAAAAGAACCCCGGCGAGGGGAGUGAAAAAGAACCUGAAACCGUGUACGUACAAGCAGUGGGAGCCCUGAUUUAUCAGGGUGACUGCGUACCUUUUGUAUAAUGGGUCAGCGACUUAUAUUCUGUAGCAAGGUUAACCGAAUAGGGGAGCCGGAGGGAAACCGAGUCUUAACUGGGCGUUAAGUUGCAGGGUAUAGACCCGAAACCCGGUGAUCUAGCCAUGGGCAGGUUGAAGGUUGGGUAACACUAACUGGAGGACCGAACCGACUAA
rnacentral:rRNA from 1 species